rnacentral:lncRNA from 1 species
UCGACAACACCCUCCACAAAAGUGAGCAUUCAGGAGAUUCUCAGAGAAUGUGAUGGGGAUGGGGAGGGUCCUUAAUGGAGGUGGAGAUGCAGGGACAAGGGGAGGGUCUUAAUGGGGGGGGUUGAGGAGCAGUGGUGGGGGGGCAGAGCCAGGGGUGACAGUUGGGGUUUAAGGAUCAAAGAGGUGAGGGUAGAGUGAAGAGAGUUUGGAGUGAAAACCAGAAAAAUUAGAGUUUGGAGGCCAGGAGUGUCAGAUAAGGCAGAAAGGCCAGCGUUGGGGUACAAGCCUAGGGACAGAUGGACCCCAUUUACCUCAGUUGGAGGUUAGUGGUAGAGAGGCUAAGAUCAGCAUAUUGGGGUCAGGAGACUUAGGGAUUAGAAUGUAGCCGAAAGGGAAAGUAUUUGGGGAUCAAAGAUGUGGAGACAAGGUCAGUGAAGUGUAAAUGUUAAGGAAACAGUAUUAGAAUUGACUUUCUGUCACACUGGACAGAAAAAGCUAUCCAUCAGGGCAUCUGAAUUUGAGGAUCAGUGUUGAGAUAGGAGUAUAAUUUAGGGACAGACUGGUGAGAAGGGGGGAUAGAAUUUAGAGGGCUAUUACGGGAGGCAUGUUUAGUGUUGAGGUCAGAAUUGAGGAGACAGAGGGUCAGGAUUUGUGGGUCAGAGAUGGAAGAACCAGCAGAACGUGGGAGGUCAGAGGCUGGGGGGAGAAUGAGACCGGCUCCAGGGAACAGGUCAGGGUUUGAGUUCAGAUUUGGGAAAACAGGGACUGGAAAUGUCAGUGUUGGAGGCAAGUAGAGAAUUGAGGGUCAGGGCUGGGAACAGAGUACCCGUGUUUGGGGUCAGAUGAGGGGGCCUGGGAGGUCCUCGAUGAUGAGGCAGGUCCCAGCAUCUUCAUAUCUGUUCCCCAAGACCAGCACUUACUCCUGGGAGCUGAGGAAGGCAUUUUCAUUCUGAACCGAAAUGAUCAGGAGGCCACGCUGGAGAUGAUGAGGGCCAGCAAGCACCUCGGGUGAGCCAAGGGUGGGAGGCUGGAAUUGGGAGGUGCUGGAGUCUUAUAGGAGCUGUCUCCUCCAUGCUCUGCAGCUCUCUUCUAGCCGGACUACCUGGGUGUUCUCCAUCAACAAUGUACUCCGUCUUCUCCUCCGGUCUGGCUGU